UACGUAGGGUGCGAGCGUUGCCCGGAAUUAUUGGGCGUAAAGAGCUUGUAGGCGGUUUGUCGCGUCUGCUGUGAAAAUCCGGGGCUCAACCCCGGACUUGCAGUGGGUACGGGCAGACUAGAGUGCGGGAGGGGAGACUGGAAUUCCUGGUGUAGCGGUGAAAUGCGCAGAUAUCAGGAGGAACACCGGUGGCGAAGGAGGGUCUCUGGGCCGUAACUGACGCUGAGGAGCGAAAGCGUGGGGAGCGAACCGG
rnacentral:rRNA from 1 species